rnacentral:rRNA from 1 species
UACAGAGGGGGCAAGCGUUGUUCGGAAUUACUGGGCGUAAAGGGCGCGUAGGCGGCCUUCUAAGUCGAACGUGAAAUCCCCGGGCUCAACCCGGGAACUGCGUCCGAUACUGGAAGGCUUGAAUCCGGGAGAGGGAGUGCGGAAUUCCGAGGUGUAGCGGUGAAAUGCGGCAGAGUAUCAGGAGGAACACCGAUGGCGAAGGCAGGUCUCGUGGG